UCGCCACCAUGGCUCUUGAAGUGAAGCACAUAUGUCUUUACUCCUAAGGAGAGUUUUGUUUGUGGGUUCUUAUCCAAACCCGAUCAGAGAUCUCCUCUAAAGCAGUGACGUUUUGGGGCUGUUGCUGGGCAACGUGGACUUUCAUCUCCCUCCAAAGAUUUUCUUUGGGCUUGAGAACUGGAGACUGGCUAGGCCACUCCAGGACAUUGAAAUGCUUCUUACGAAGCCACUCCUUCAUUGCCCGGGCGGUGUGUUUGGGAUCAUUGUCAUGCUGAAAGACCCAGCCACGUUUCAUCUUCAAUGCCCUUGCUGAUGGAAGGAGGUUUUCACUCAAAAUCUCACGAUACAUGGCCCCAUUCAUUCCUUUACACGGAUCAGUCGUCCUGGUCCCUUUGCAGAAAAACAGCCCCAAAGCAUGAUGUUUCCACACCCAUGCUUCACAGUAGCAAACUUCAGACGGGCCUGGACAUGUACUGGCUUAAGCAGGGGGACACGUCUGGCACUGCAGGAUUUGAGUCCCUGGCGACGUAGUGUGUUACUGAUGCUUGUAGCAGCACACCCGAGGGUGUUGAGAAGGAGAGGAUCGGAAGAGAAGGAGGACGGAGGUUAAAUUGUGCCUUGGCAGGAAAAAUAUGAUUGAAUUGACUAUGGCAAUUGAUAUCUGCACUGUUUGAUUAUUUAUUACUUAUACGAUUAUAACCUGAAUACCUACCUUGAUGUUUAAUUCCAUGCUGAAAUGUGUCUGAUUUGCAUACUGGUAACAUGAUUGAUAGUAACAUUUCGAUAUUGAUUGAUGUUUGACAGAUCCUCCUUGGUAUUUCAUUCCAAGUACAAAAUUAAACAUCACACUUGAUGUAAAUCUUUUUAGUAUGCAUUCACCAUCACAUGUACUUAAUUAAAUUGUGAAAUGUAUUUUCAUUAACGCUGUUGAAAUUGUGAAAUUACUCCAAAUUUUCGGGUACCGUUUAUGAAACUGAGCCCAUUGAUAGAUAUUAAGUCAACUUUGAAUAAGAACGUAAGAAACUGUACAACAGACCUGUGCUGCAGGACAUCUGCAAGAUAGUGCUGGCAUGCUUAAAUAAUAAAUCAAUGUCAAAUCAAUUGCACUAAGCUGUUCUCACAAUUUACCAUAAGGUGUAAAAUUACCAAACUAUAACGUCUGUCAUUAAAUGAACACCAAGGUG